AGUGAACGCUGGCGGUAGGCCUAACACAUGCAAGUCGAACGGCAGCACAGGAGAGCUUGCUCUCUGGGUGGCGAGUGGCGGACGGGUGAGGAAUACAUCGGAAUCUACUUUGUCGUGGGGGAUAACGUAGGGAAACUUACGCUAAUACCGCAUACGACCUACGGGUGAAAGCAGGGGAUCUUCGGACCUUGCGCGAUUGAAUGAGCCGAUGUCGGAUUAGCUAGUUGGCGGGGUAAAGGCCCACCAAGGCGACGAUCCGUAGCUGGUCUGAGAGGAUGAUCAGCCACACUGGAACUGAGACACGGUCCAGACUCCUACGGGAGGCAGCAGUGGGGAAUAUUGGACAAUGGGCGCAAGCCUGAUCCAGCCAUACCGCGUGGGUGAAGAAGGCCUUCGGGUUGUAAAGCCCUUUUGUUGGGAAAGAAAUCCAGCCGGCUAAUACCUGGUUGGGAUGACGGUACCCAAAGAAUAAGCACCGGCUAACUUCGUGCCAGCAGCCGCGGUAAUACGAAGGGUGCAAGCGUUUACUCGGAAUUACUGGGCGUAAAGCGUGCGUAGGUGGUUAUUUUAAGUCCGUGUGAAAGCCCCUGGGCUCAACCUGGGAACUGCGUGGAUACUGGGAUUGACUUGA
rnacentral:rRNA from 1 species